rnacentral:rRNA from 1 species
UACAGAGGUCUCAAGCGUUGUUCGGAUUCAUUGGGCGUAAAGGGUGCGCAGGCGGCGAGGCAAGUCGGACGUGAAAUCUCGGGGCUUAACCCCGAACUGCGUUCGAUACUGCUUUGCUUGAGGACUGGAGAGGAGACUGGAAUUCCUGGUGUAGCAGUGAAAUGCGUAGAUAUCAGGAGGAACACCGAUGGCGAAGGCGGCAUCCUGGACCGGCACUGACGCUGAUGAGCGAAAGCUAGGGGAGCGAACAGG